rnacentral:rRNA from 1 species
GAUUAACGCUGGCGGCAUGCCUAACACAUGCAAGUCGAACGGCAGCACAGUAAAGACUUCGGUCUUUACGGGUGGCGAGUGGCGGACGGGUGAGUAACGCGUAGGAAUCUGUCCUGGAGGGUGGGAUAACCCGAGGAAACUCGGGCUAAUACCGCAUGAUAUCGAGAGAUCAAAAGCAGGGGACCCUUCGGGGCCUUGCGCUCUAGGAUGAGCCUACGUCGGAUUAGCUAGUUGGUGGGGUAAAGGCCUACCAAGGCGACGAUCCGUAGCUGGUCUGAGAGGAUGACCAGCCACACUGGGACUGAGACACGGCCCAGACUCCUACGGGAGGCAGCAGUGGGGAAUUGUUCGCAAUGGGCGCAAGCCUGACGACGCAACGCCGCGUGGAGGACGAAGGCUUUCGGGUCGUAAACUCCUGUCGUGCGGGACGAAUGCCUCCGGGGUGAACAGCCUCGGAGGGUGACGGUACCGCGAAAGGAAGCCCCGGCUAACUCCGUGCCAGCAGCCGCAGUAA